GUAAGGGUCCCACUGGUGUGUGUGUGUGUGUGUGUGUGUGGUUCUUUUAAUUUUCAAUUUCUAAUUAGCUUUAUUUUACCAGGAGGCCCUUCUGAGGUGUGUGUGUGUGUGUGAGUGUUGUCUGUGUGUGUUUUAUUCAUUUUCAAUUGUUAAUUUCCAUUAGUUUACCAGGAGGCACUGAGGUUAAGAAUCAGUUACCAAGGUGUCCGGGGAUAAGAUACAACAGCAUAACAAGUCACGUAAAGUCUCUGCAGACAACAAAUAACACAAUACACUUCAAACAGAGGAUGGAGCAAUUCAACAGCCUUACUCCUUGAGAUGAACCAGGGCCCUGUUCCAAGAAGCCGAAUUUCCAGGUUAAUCGGAUAAUAUAUGUUGAGUCAGAAUUCAGGGAAAGCCAGACUUUUUGUUUUACCGAGAUACCAAGCUUAGAGCACUCUCGAGUUCAGCUACCAUGGCAACGCCUGCUGUGAGCCCGGGGCAAACCCAGGUCAAAACACUUCGUCUCUACUUUUCAGUAGCGCCGGCCACCAAGAUCGUUUAUUGGCCUGUGGCAUGUGCCACCGCGACCACUGACAUACCAUGGCGUUCCUGAACCAUGGUUCAGGAACGGUAACUGCCGUUCAGGUGGAACGGCAUAUGCCGUUCAGGAACACUAACUACCUAACUUUUUAGAAUCAGAAAACGACAGGAGAUGAACUUGAGAACUUGAAUAGACUGUAUUAACGUUGUUUUGUAGAGAGAAUCGAUGCAGUUGUUAUGUAGGUCACUACUCUAAGCUGUUGGCUCGAAUAGAGCUCCACCUAACUCCAAGAAGAAAUGGAUGAAUGUGGGAAAUACACAUUUAGUUAUUUUUUAUCACCAAGACAUGCCUCAGACAAUUGAUUGACAACUGUUAAACACUCUUGGCUUCAGCUAGUUUUGUAGAGCCAGCCGAUUUGUGUUGACGUACUGCCAGUGAGCCAGCCUGGGUUUCAACCAGUAACAGCACUGGAAUAGCAGUGACCGCUUGGAAAUCCCCUGAUUUAACACAUUUUUAUGGUGUGAUUGGAGCCAGCUGUUUUCACGUUCACCCUAUCUGAGAUCAACAUUGGAUCGGCUGUUCUGAAAACCACAAACAGUCAAGUCCAGUCAAGGAGGCACUCGCGGUAGUCAGAGUUCAUGUUCAUAUUGAAACAUAUCCUAACCCGCUCCUUGAAACAGGGUCCAGGAAAGUCCAAACUCAAACCUUUACGGGCUAUAGAGGCCGACGCUGGGCCCUGGAUGAAAGGAAUGUAAAAGAUCCUUCAUGUGGAGCCAUGUCAUCUUAACUAUGCUGUGUGAUCUCCCAUGACCUCAUGUGUGCUCUGCGUUUAUCAGGUACACCGUGUGGAAGCCAGGAGGCUUUGAGAAACUCGGACAACUUUGUUUUGCUGCUUUUAGAAGCAACACUGAGGAAUUCCGAGAAGGAUUUGAUUUCUGAAGGCGUUAUCGCCCCGGCCUUGAAGCCACUGACACACACUGUUUUGAUUGAUUGUUUAUUUUCGUGUCAUGCCAAACAAGUGGUCCAUCCCACACAGGAUUGCAAGACACCGAUAUAACUAAACAAAGAGUGUAGUACAUACACAAUCACAAU
ensembl:lncRNA